rnacentral:lncRNA from 1 species
AUGGAAUAUGAACAAAGUAAUGUGUUCAUUCGGUUAAAAGGAGAUUUCUUCCUCUGGUCUUGCUCACUUUUCCCUUCCUGCAGACUGAAGUGUAGAUAUGGUAGAGGUGCAGCAUCAGUCAUGCUGAUGAAGACAACAUCCAUGGGAUUGAUGGAGGAAGAAAAUGCACUCAAUAAAAAUUCACAGAGAAAAGCUGCCUUACGAGAUUGCAAGAGGACAACUUGGCUCUAAAAUCGACGCAUGAACAUGCCAUUGGAAUUGUUGAUGAUUCUGAUUUUAUUCCAUUUUGUUUGGAGUACAUUCCUGAUUGAUCUCUACUGCUUUACAUUUACUCAUUCUGUUUAAGGCUUGGCAUUUGAUCUAUUCUGGAAAAUGUACCAUGAGCACUUGGGAAGAAUGUGUACUCUGUUGUUGUUGAGUCAAGUGUUCAAUGCAUAUUUAUUAGGUCUUGUUGAUUGUUAACUUUACUACUGCCUUGUUAGUCUUCUUCAUAGUUGCUCUAACCGUUAUUAAACGAAGGACAUUGAAGUCUCCAAUUAUUGUGGAAAUGUCUUUUCUCCCCUGAGUUCUGUCAGUUUUGCUUAGUGUACUGUUAUCGCUUUUUAGGUACAUAUAUAUUCAUAAUUCUAAUGUGUUUCUAAUGAGUUGAUUAUUGUAUGAUUAUCAAAUAUCCCUCUUUUUCUUUUGGUAACUGUUUUGGUGUUACUUUAUUUGAUAUUGGUAUAGCCACCAGAUUUCUUGUGUUGCCAACAAGAAAU